UCUGAGACCCGAAAGGUGAGGCCUUCUUCACGCCUGGGAGACUGUGCCCGGUGCCUCUGCGGCGCUCACUAUGCCUCAAACGAGUGUAUUGAAUUACACCAUAAACGCUAUGGAUAUCGUUUGGAUUACCAUGAGAAAAAGAGAAAGAGUCUUGGAGAGUCUAGAGGCUCAUGAACGUUCAAAGAAGGCAAAGAAGAUGAUUGGUCUGAAGGCUAAGCUCUAUCAUAAGCAGCGCCACGCUGAAAAAACACAAAUGAAAAAGACUAUCAAGAUGCAUGAAAAGAGAAACACCAAGCAAAAAAACGAUGAAAAGACUCCACAGGGAGCAGUAUCUGCCUAUCUGCUGGACAGAGAGGGACAGUCCCGAGCUAAAGUGCUUUCCAAUAUGAUUAAACAAAAACGAAAAGAGAAAGCGGGAAAAUGGGAAGUCCCUUUGCCUAAAGUUCGUGCCCAGGGAGAAACAGAAGUAUUAAAAGUUAUUCGAAUGGGAAAGAGAAAGAAGAAGGCAUGGAAGAGGAUGGUUACUAAAGUUUGCUUUGUUGGAGAUGGCUUUACAAGAAAAUCACCCAAAUAUGAAAGCCUCAUUAGGCCGAUGGGCUUACGUUUCAAGAAAGCCCAUGUAACGCAUCCUGAACUGAAAGCCUUUUGCCUGCCAAUACAUGGUGUAAAGAAGAAUCCCUCAUCUCCAUUAUAUACAACUUUGGGUGUUAUUACCAAGGGUACCAUCAUUGAGGUCAAUGUGAGUGAGUUGGGCCUUGUGACACAAGGAGGCAGAGUUAUUUAGGGGAAAUAUGCACAGGUGACCAACAAUCCUGAAAACGAUGGAUGCAUAAAUGCAGUCGUACUGGUUUGACAGAUGUUUCAUAUAAGCAACUCCUUGUAAUUGUUGGCCACAUAUCAGUUGGGAAAACCACCUUUACUGUGAUGUUUCUUAAUACUACCAAAGAGCCUUACUUGUCUGCAGUCA